GUAAAAUGAUGAAAACAUGCGUGUCAUUUGACCUGUUGUAAACACUGGUCCUCACAUCAGUGGUGAUGUAUUAUCAUUGUUGAUUCUGAUGUCCAGUGAUCUACACCAGGAUAUGAUUUAGAUUUAUCUGAUUAC